CAUGUCACCUCUGUGCUUCAGUCUGUACAGCCCGUAGCCAACCACCAUGGCAAAGCCAGCCAUCCCUGCAAGGCAAGGCGAGCAUCCUUAUGGCAAGUCCUGGCCUGUCUACUGUUUUCACUCGAGUGGCGUCUAAUUCAAUGCACCAGGCAGCACAGAGAACAGUGAGGGAUUUCCACCAGCGUUAAAAUGCAACAGCAGCAACUCAAAAAGCACAUGUGCUGCUUGCACCCUCUUUCCUGGGAGGAAGCUCACACCCAAGAACACCACUCAGCUGCAGCUGGGACACACG